GAUGAACGCUAGCUACAGGCUUAACACAUGCAAGUCGAGGGGCAUCAGGAAGAAAGCUUGCUUUCUUUGCUGGCGACCGGCGCACGGGCGAGUAACACGUAUCCAACCUGCCCUUUACUCGGGGAUAGCCUUUCGAAAGAAAGAUUAAUACCCGAUAGCAUAAUGAUUCCGCACGGUUUCAUUAUUAAAGGAUUCCGGUAAAAGAUGGGGAUGCGUUCCAUUAGGUUGUUGGUGAGGUACGGCCACAAGCCUUCGAUGGAUAGGGGUUCUGAGAGGAACGGUCCCCCACA
rnacentral:rRNA from 1 species